UGAGGAUCCCGGUUGAUCCUGCCAAGGAAGCACACUUCAGUCAUAGAUUAAGCCAUGCAAGUCUUUGUUCAGGUAACGAAACCGCAGACAGCUCAUUAGUACACUUAUAACCUGCUAGAUUGCGACGAUUUGUCUUAAUAGGAUAGCUGCAGUAAUUCUGGAGCUAAUACUUGCUAUUGUAUCAAGGUAAGUGAAGUAAGAUGGUAAAGUUGACCCACGCGGGCAAGUCCAAUGGAUGAGUGUUCUAUCAGGCCCAACCGAGUGUCUUUCCCUUGGUGGCCAAUUACGGGUGACGGGCGAUUAUCGUCGGAUUGCCGGAGAAGGAGCCUGAGAGACAGCUACUAUGCCUACGGGCAGCAGCAGGCGCGAAACUUACCCACUCGACGCGGUCGGAGGUGGUAAUGACCAGUUCCAACACUGGUCUUCGGACCAUAUUGGAUAGAUUGGCUUUUUAAAGUUGUCAAACAAUCUAGCAGAGGGCCAGUCUGGUGCCAGCAGCUGCGGUAAUUCCAGCUCUGCGAGUUUGCUCCCAUAUUGUUGCAGUUAAAACGCCCGUAGUCAGAGGUCUUUACAGGGAAGGACAAGACCGUCCACCGCGAAUAAAACAGGAUGCUUAGGGUAGCUUUUGUUGAAUGUUUAAGCGCGGUCUGGAAUAUUUACCUAUUUAGGGUAAGGUCAAAGAGAGCCAAAGGGGGUGGUCGUAUUCCGUGGCGAGCGGUGGAAUGCUCUGACCCAUGGGAGACGAACGAAAGCGAAAGCAGCCACCUAUAGGGUUUCUGUCGAUCAAGGGCGAGAGUAGGGGUAGCGAACCGGAUUAGAGACCCGGGUAGUCCCUACUGUAAACGAUGUCGACAAGGGGUUAUCCGUGCAAGGGUAGUACCUGUUGAGAAAUCGUAGUUAGUGGACUCUGGGGGAACUACGAUCGCAAGACUGAAACUUGAAGGAAUUGACGGAAGGGCACACAAGGGGUGGAGCCUGUGGCUCAAUUUGAAUCAACACGGGGAAACUUACCAGGACCAGAUGAUUUGGUGACUGACCGUCUAAAGGGCAUUCAGGAAGGAUUUUUGGGUGGUGCAUGGCCGUUGGUGGUGCGUGGGUUGACCUGUCAUUCGUUGAUUCAGGUAACGAGCGAGACUACCGCCGUCUACUAUUUGGGGCUUAUUUCUAUAGGCUGCAGAUCUAGGGGGUACAGCUCGGUCUCAACCGAGAGGAAGGAGGUAGCAAUAACAGGUCCGUGAUGUCCUUUAGAUGCCCUGGGCUGCACGCGUGCUACAGUGAGUUUGAUAAAGAGAAGCGAACUUGAGAAGGGGAGCUACUCACUAAUCAAACCCGUGGUUGGGAUUGAGGUUUGUAAUGAGCCUCAUGAACCAGGAAUCCCUUGUAAGCGUGUGUCAACAGCGCACGUUGAAUACGUCCCUGCCCUUUGUACACACCGCCCGUCGCUCCUACCGAUUGGAUGACCUGGUGAAAACAUCGGACUUUUAGGAAGGUGCUUAAAUCAUGUUAUCUAGAGGAAGGAGAAGUCGUAACAAGGUAACGGUAGGUGAACCUGCAGCAG
rnacentral:rRNA from 1 species